rnacentral:rRNA from 1 species
CCCGCUGAACUUAAGCAUAUCAAUAAGCGGAGGAAAAGAAACUAACAAGGAUUCCCCUAGUAACGGCGAGUGAAGCGGGAACAGCUCAAAUUUGAAACCUGGCGUCCUUAGGGCGUCCGGAUUGUAUUCUAGAGAAGCGUCUUCCACGCUGGUCCACGUAUAAGUGCCCUGGAACGGGCUGUCAUAGAGGGUGAGAAUCCCGUCCUUGACGUGGGCUACCAGUGUUUUGUGAUGCGCUUUCUAAGAGUCGAGUUGUUUGGGAAUGCAGCUCAAAGUGGGUGGUAAAUUCCAUCUAAAGCUAAAUAUUGGCCUGAGACCGAUAGCGAACAAGUACCGUGAGGGAAAGAUGAAAAGCACUUUGAAAAGAGAGUCAAACAGUACGUGAAAUUGCUGAAAGGGAAACGCUUGAAGUCAGUCGCGCCCCCUGGAAUUCAGCCCUGCUUUUGUAGGGUGUACUUUCCAGGGGGCGGGCCAACAUCAGUUUUGACCGGCAGAUAAAGGCUGGGGGAAUGUGGCUCCUUCGGGAGUGUUAUAGCCCCUGGUCACAUAUGCCGGUUGGGACUGAGGAACGCAGCGCGCCCUUGUGGCAGGCCUUCGGGCACUUUCGCGCUUAGGAUGUUGGCAUAAUGGCUUUAAGCGACCCGUCUUGAAACACGG